rnacentral:rRNA from 1 species
UAGGUGUAGGGAACUGAAAAGGACCGACCUUCGGGAGCCUAUACAGGUGUUGCAUGGCUGUCGUCAGCUCGUGUCGUGAGAUGUUCGGUUAAGUCCGCUAACGAGCGCAACCCUCGUCGUAUGUUAUAUGUGUCAUACGAGACUGCCGGUAAAAGCCGGAGGAAGGUGAGGAUGAUGUCAAGUCAGCAUGACCUUUAUAUCCAGGGCUACACACACGCUACAAUGGUCUGUACAAUGGGUAGCCAAGCCGCGAGGCGGAGCCAAUCCUGAAAGCAGGCCUCAGUUCAGAUUGCAGUCUGCAACUCGACUGCAUGAAGUUGGAGUUGCUAGUAAACGCAGGUCAGCCAUACUGCGUUGAAUACCGGUUCCCGGGGCUU